rnacentral:rRNA from 1 species
UAAAGAUUCAUCGCUGAUAGAUAGGCAUGCGUUCCAUUAGGCAGUUGGCGGGGUAACGGCCCACCAAACCGACGAUGGAUAGGGGUUCUGAGAGGAAGGUCCCCCACAUUGGUACUGAGACACGGACCAAACUCCUACGGGAGGCAGCAGUGAGGAAUAUUGGUCAAUGGGCGUAAGCCUGAACCAGCCAAGUCGCGUGAGGGAUGAAGGUUCUAUGGAUCGUAAACCUCUUUUAUAAGGGAAUAAAGUGUGGGACGUGUCCUGUUUUGUAUGUACCUUAUGAAUAAGGAUCGGCUAACUCCGUGCCAGCAGCCGCGGUAAUACGGAGGAUCCGAGCGUUAUCCGGAUUUAUUGGGUUUAAAGGGUGCGUAGGCGGCCUUUUAAGUCAGCGGUGAAAGUCUGUGGCUCAACCAUAGAAUUGCCGUUGAAACUGGGAGGCUUGAGUAUGUUUGAGGCAGGCGGAAUGCGUGGUGUAGCGGUGAAAUGCUUAGAUAUCACGCAGAACCCCGAUUGCGGAGGCAGCCUGCCAAGCCAUGACUGACGCUGAUGCACGAAAGCGUGGGGAUCAAACAGGAUUAGAUACCCUGGUAGUCCACGCAGUAAACGAUGAUCACUAGCUGUUUGCGAUACAGUGUAA